AGCAUUAACUAGGGGUGUCCAACGAGUUGGGCUGAGAGAAAGACGCAAUGAAGUCUUUUAACCCUUUGGACCUGAUCUGGCUCAUACCAGCGUAGGGAAGUUWGACUCCUCAACA
rnacentral:ncRNA from 2 species